UAGCUUAGUUGGGUGAGGGUAACGGGUUCCCCCAAGGCCCCGGAUGCCAUAGCCGACCUUGAGAGGGGGAUUCGGCCCCACCUGGGGACUGAGACACGGCCCCAGAUUCCUACGGGAAGCAAGCAGUAGGGAAUUUUUCGGCAAUGGACGAAAAGUCUGACCGAGCCACCGCCGCGUGAAUGAAGAAAGGUUUUCGGAUCGUAAAAAUUCUGUUGUUAGAGAAGAACAAGGACGUUAGUAACUGAACGUCCCCCUGACGGUAUCUAACCAGAAAGCCCCGGCUAACUACGUGCCAGCAGCCGCGGUAAUACGUAGGUGGCAAGCGUUGUCCGGAUUUAUUGGGCGUAAAGCGAGCGCAGGCGGUUUCUUAAGUCUGAUGUGAAAGCCCCCGGCUCAACCGGGGAGGGUCAUUGGAAACUGGGAGACUUGAGUGCAGAAGAGGAGAGUGGAAUUCCAUGUGUAGCGGUGAAAUGCGUAGAUAUAUGGAGGAACACCAGUGGCGAAGGCGGCUCUCUGGUCUGUAACUGACGCUGAGGCUCGAAAGCGUGGGGAGCAAACAGGAUUAGAUACCCUGGUAGUCCACGCCGUAAACGAUGAGUGCUAAGUGUUGGAGGGUUUCCGCCCUUCAGUGCUGCAGCAAACGCAUUAAGCACUCCGCCUGGGGAGUACGACCGCAAGGUUGAAACUCAAAGGAAUUGACGGGGGCCCGCACAAGCGGUGGAGCAUGUGGUUUAAUUCGAAGCAACGCGAAGAACCUUACCAGGUCUUGACAUCCUUUGACCACUCUAGAGAUAGAGCUUUCCCUUCGGGGACAAAGUGACAGGUGGUGCAUGGUUGUCGUCAGCUCGUGUCGUGAGAUGUUGGGUUAAGUCCCGCAACGAGCGCAACCCUUAUUGUUAGUUGCCAUCAUUUAGUUGGGCACUCUAGCGAGACUGCCGGUGACAAACCGGAGGAAGGUGGGGAUGACGUCAAAUCAUCAUGCCCCUUAUGACCUGGGCUACACACGUGCUACAAUGGGAAGUACAACGAGUCGCUAGACCGCGAGGUCAUGCAAAUCUCUUAAAGCUUCUCUCAGUUCGGAUUGCAGGCUGCAACUCGCCUGCAUGAAGCCGGAAUCGCUAGUAAUCGCGGAUCAGCACGCCGCGGUGAAUACGUUCCCGGGCCUUGUACACACCGCCCGUCACACCACG
rnacentral:rRNA from 1 species